AAGAGCGCGAAGAAGUUCCUGGUCCGCAAACCCGUCAGCAACGCCAUCAUGCGCUCCGGCUUCGGCGGCCGACGCCAUCCAAUUCUCGGCUACACCAAGAUGCAUACCGGCGUGGACUGGGCGGCUCCUUACGGCACGCCGAUCUUCGCAUCGGGCAACGGCGUGAUCGAAAAGGCCGGAUGGGAAGGCGGCUACGGCAAAUAUAUCCGCGUCAAGCAUCCGAACGGAUACGAAACCGCCUACGGUCACAUGACCGCGUUCGCCAA
rnacentral:misc_RNA from 1 species